rnacentral:rRNA from 1 species
UCAGAGUUUGACUGGCUCAGGAUGAACGCUAGCUACAGGCUUAACACAUGCAAGUCGAGGGGCAGCAUGAACUUAGGUUGCUAAGUUUGAUGGCGACCGGCGCACGGGUGAGUAACACGUAUCCAACCUUCCGUUUACUCAGGGAUAGCCUUUCGAAAGAAAGAUUAAUACCUGAUAGUAUGGUGAGAUUGCAUGAUAGCACCAUUAAAGAUUUAUUGGUAAACGAUGGGGAUGCGUUCCAUUAGGUAG